rnacentral:rRNA from 1 species
CGCUGGCGGCGUGGAUAAGACAUGCAAGUCGAACGGGACUUUUUUUUGUAGCAAUACAGAAAAAAGUCUAGUGGCGAACGGGUGCGUAACACGUGAGCAACCUGCCGUGAAGUGGGGGAUAGCUCGCCGAAAGGCGAAUUAAUACCGCAUGUGGCCAAGGAAGACAUCUUCCUGACGCCAAAGCCGGGGUAACCUGGCGCUUCUCGAGGGGCUCGCGGCCUAUCAGCUUGUUGGUGAGGUAAUGGCUCACCAAGGCAUUGACGGGUAGCUGGUCUGAGAGGACGACCAGCCACACUGGAACUGAGACACGGUCCAGACACCUACGGGUGGCAGCAGUCGAGAAUCUUUCACAAUGGGGGAAACCCUGAUGGAGCGACGCCGCGUGGAGGAUGAAGGUUUUCGGAUCGUAAACUCCUGUCAUUAGAGAACAAUGCACACGGUUUAACUGGCUGUGUGUUGAUAGUAUCUGAAGAGGAAGGGACGGCUAACUCUGUGCCAGCAGCCGCGGUAAUACAGAGGUCUCAAGCGUUGUUCGGAUUCAUUGGGCGUAAAGGGUGCGUAGGUGGCGAGGUAAGUCGGAUGUGAAAUCUCCAAGCUCAACUUGGAAACUGCAUUCGAUACUGCUUUGCUAGAGGNAUUGUAGAGGGCAUUGGAAUUCACGGGUGUAGCAGUGAAAUGCGUAGAUAUCGUGAGGAAGACCCAGUGGCGAAGGCGAAUGCCUGGGCAAUUCCUGACACUGAGGCACGAAGGCCAGGGGAGCGAACGGGAUUAGAUACCCCGGU